UUGAAAAAAGAAAGAGCAUAGACAGGUAAAGAUGUCAAGACAGACUUCACACUAAAAAGUUAUGACUAGGUCCGCCCCUGCCUUGGUCCUUCUUUGAUGUCUAAGGAUGGAAUAAUUGCAAACCUAUGAUACAUAGUAAACCUCACUAAGAUUGAAUAAGAUAUUGUUUAGAAAUUUUAUCGACUAAUAAAAUAUAAAAGAAUAGAAUUAUGGAAAGUAUAACUUUGAAUUACUUUCUAUAAUCCUAAAAUGAAGAGAUAGACUCACACAUGCAGUGACAUGGUGACUGGUGAGUAUACAGAAAAUAAAUAAAAUAAAUAAAUAAAUAACAAAGAAAGUUAAUAAAACUUAACUAAAAUUGACGAGAGUUUUGUUAUCAAAUUACAAAGUGAUCAUGGAUUUUUACAAUGAGUACAAUGAACACCGAAGAAUUAUGACAGAUAAAUUACAUCAAUGCAUUAAAUUUUCACUUUCUCAUAUUUCAAGAUACUUUAAAAUGCAUCAAUUACACUUCAUUCUUUAAAUUCUCUUCAUUUAUUCCUAUUAAACGAAAAUAAAUAAAAACAAAUAAAAUAUUCUAAAAAAUUAAAUAAAAAAUACUACUAAAAAUCAUACAUAUUUGCAUGUCAUCCAUGAUUCUUUGUUUAAAGGAUCCUACACUUUGUGUUAUUUGUACAAAUUUUCCUUUACUUAUUGUUGUAUUUUUAUCAUCAAGAGACAAUAAAUUUUCCUUUUCAUUUUCUAAAACUCAUAAUGAAAGGCCGAGUGAUUAAUUCCAUCAACUAAAGAGACAAACUCAUAUAGAUAAAUCUAAGAGACAAUAAUUUUUUUUGUCAAAAAAUAAAAAAAGGAUUUUUUCACAUUAUAAAGUGAUCAAGCAAAUUUCAUUUUUUUAAGCUCAAAGAAGACAAAAUAUGGCUACAACUUCAAAGUUUGUUUAUUCUAUGAUUAUCCUUCUUUCCAUAUUUUUUUAUGUAACAAACUGUUCAAUCCUUCUUUGCGAUCACGAUCAAGAUUGUCCGAAAUAUUUGUGCAUCCCUCCUCAAUUUCCGAAGUGCGUAUUAGAUUGUCAAUGUUUGUAGCCUUAAAAAAUAUAACUUAAUAAAUAGUAUUUUCUUUGAGUGUUUCUAUAUGUAAUUUCUUGUUGUUCUGAUGUUCAUUUGUGGUUCUGUUUUGUUCCUGAGAUAAGCAGUGUAGGAACUUUUAUUUUUGCUGGGUUUGUUACCACAUUUAUAGUGGUUUGUUACCUUGUUUACACAAACACAUCUUGUGUUUUGGUUACUGUUUUUAAUAAAAUUAUUGCUGAUUCAAAAAAAAAAAGUAUUU